UACCCAACAGCUAGCUUACACCCA
rnacentral:rRNA from 1 species